AGUGGGGAAUAUUGGACAAUGGGCGAAAGCCUGAUCCAGCCAUGCCGCGUGUGUGAAGAAGGUCUUCGGAUUGUAAAGCACUUUAAGUUGGGAGGAAGGGCAGUAAGCGAAUACCUUGCUGUUUUGACGUUACCGACAGAAUAAGCACCGGCUAACUCUGUGCCAGCAGCCGCGGUAAUACAGAGGGUGCAAGCGUUAAUCGGAAUUACUGGGCGUAAAGCGCGCGUAGGUGGUUUGUUAAGUUGAAUGUGAAAUCCCCGGGCUCAACCUGGGAACUGCAUCCAAAACUGGCAAGCUAGAGUAGGGCAGAGGGUGGUGGAAUUUCCUGUGUAGCGGUGAAAUGCGUAGAUAUAGGAAGGAACACCAGUGGCGAAGGCGACCACCUGGGCUCAUACUGACACUGAGGUGCGAAAGCGUGGGGAGCAAA
rnacentral:rRNA from 1 species